GGAAGGGGAGAAGUCCCAAGCUGUGCCCAACUGGGCAAAGGGGUCCUCCUCCUGUCAUCACCGAUCAUAGAAACAUCAAAUCUUCUUAUCUUAUGUACAACUUACAACUGAGGAAUCAUACCUUCUGCAGUGCUGCUAUUGCAAUCUUCUGCAAUUCUGCUCGUGUCCAGGAUAGCUCAGCAGCUCUUAAACAGGAGGACUUAGUAAUCUGUGGGCAAAUCUCAAGUUGCUUCACCGAAGCAGACAGUCAGAGGCCGUGUGAAGCAAUGCAGUUGAAGUUUUUGCAUGCUGCUUAUACUGGGGAGUCAUGCAGAAGCUCUGGUAAGUGGCCUGUGCUCACAAAAGAGGUGUUUGCUGGGACACAACCUGCAGCAGGAAAAGGUUCAUCCAUGGGCAGCAGCUGUGAUGCAACCAGAGAAUGUGUUCACUCAGUGAACAGAGUGGGAACGUGUCUGAGGAGCUUACAAUCUUCAUAACAUUGUGAAAUCUUCCCUAGUUGCUCCUGUUCGAGAUUUUUCUUCCUGAUAAAUGCCAAAAGUGAAGCUUUUCCUUCACUCUUGACUAAUAAAUUUGCUGUCUUUCCCCCCCCA